rnacentral:rRNA from 1 species
UACGGGAGGCAGCAGUGGGGAAUAUUGCACAAUGGGCGGAAGCCUGAUGCAGCGACGCCGCGUGAGGGAUGAAGGCCUUCGGGUUGUAAACCUCUUUCAGCAGGGACGAAGCGUGAGUGACGGUACCUGCAGAAGAAGCACCGGCUAACUACGUGCCAGCAGCCGCGGUAAUACGUAGGGUGCGAGCGUUGUCCGGAAUUACUGGGCGUAAAGAGUUCGUAGGCGGUUUGUCGCGUCGUUUGUGAAAACCCGGGGCUCAACUUCGGGCUUGCAGGCGAUACGGGCAGACUUGAGUGUUUCAGGGGAGACUGGAAUUCCUGGUGUAGCGGUGAAAUGCGCAGAUAUCAGGAGGAACACCGGUGGCGAAGGCGGGUCUCUGGGAAACAACUGACGCUGAGGAACGAAAGCGUGGGUAGCAAACAGGAUUAGAUACCCUGGUAGUCCACGCCGUAAACGGUGGGCCU